ACACAAAGAAGGAUGAAGAAUUGAGAUUCUGAUUUGACCAGGAGAAGCCAAACAAUGGAGCUUGGAGGUUCUGAAACCAGCUUUUACAGACCCCUUCACGGUUCACGUCACAGGAGAAUUCGCGGUUCGCACUGCGCAUGUCAGGGUCAGAAAAGUCAUUCUAUCAAGUGGAGUUGCGUAUUGUUCGGUUGAAUCCAAAGAGCAUUGUCACCUACGUGUUGCUUCGUGGGCUGUGAAGUGUAUGUAGUGCUCACUUCAUUUCAGAUUUCACAAGACUUCUCUGUGUUAUUCCUGACCAUGCCUAAAAGCUAUUUGAAAAUUGGGCCUUGCAUUUUAAAGACAGAAUCCUGCAACUUGCCAGCCAGGAACAUCAACAACCCCACCACCCCCCAGAACCCCAUGGUGAUAUUCCACACAGACUGCUUCCUGUCAUUUUGCCAACUCCUGUCUACUAAAGUGGGAAGAAAAUCUUAAGAUUUAUUGAAUUUUAGCAUGUAAAUAUAAUGGAAGUAUUGCACAUUUUGCUUUGCAAAAAAAACAUUAAAUAUUUUGUUGGUGAACUAGCAAGUAGACAUGUUUACAAUUAGGAAUACAGUUAAAACUCAGAUAAGUAAAAUUUGUCUCUCACUUGUCCAGGACAAGCAUUAAUGUCAAGCCCUGUAUUCGUUACAUAUAAUAAUAAAUGAUAAUAAAGUGUUGGCUAUAUUAAAAGAAAACACCAUUUAUUUUAUAUUUUACUAUGUUUUUACCUUAAAUUUGACUUUAAUACAUAAUUAACCUUUUUUUCAAUGCGUGCACUGUCGGGGCUUAUUUCUGCUAUGACAACCUGCUGCCAAUACAUUAUCCCUUACUUGUACAACUUGUUUUUACUUGAUCUAAUUGUUAUGUUAACUGGGCAUCUGUCAUUUUAGAUUAAUAGAUAUGAAAUAUACAAAUUUUUUAAUCAUAGAUUGGAUAGUUUGUGUAGGGUUGAAUUGAAUGCCUUUAUUGUCAUUGUACUUUACAAUACAAAGAAAAUAGGAGCACUCUCCUAUAUACAAUAAAUACAAUAAAUAAUUGUAAUGGUUUGAUACAUGGCUUUGUUGUCCUCCUAAAAGGGAUGUUGGCAGGGUGGA